rnacentral:rRNA from 1 species
GGCGCUACGACCGACGGGGCGACGGAUGGGGGUGGCUCGGCGGGGUUCUGGACGUCCCCGUGAUGGAGCGCGGCCCGCGGACCAGGGAAAUCCGGUCCGCAGAAGGGCGAGGCUCCGGACGAAGCGAUUGAGCGAAGCGAGUGAGCCCGAGGUCCCUAGAAAAACCCCUAGGCAGGCGCGUGCGCGCCCGUACCGCAAACCGACACAGGUGGGUGGGUAGAACAUACCGAGGCGAUCGGGUCAACCAUGGUCAAGGAACUCGGCACAAUGGCCCCGUAACUUCGGGAGAAGGGGUGCCCGCGCGUACGUGAACCGGCUCGCCCGGGGAGCGGAGGCGGGCCGCAGUGGAGAGGCCCAAGCGACUGUUUACCAAAAACACAGGACUCUGCAGAAGCCGCAAGGCGACGUAUAGGGUCUGACGCCUGCCCGGUGCCGGAAGGUCACGCGGAGGAGUUAGCGCAUCGCGCGAAGCCCCGAAGCCAAGCCCCGGUAAACGGCGGCCGUAACUAUAACGGUCCUAAGGUAGCGAAAUUCCUUGUCGGGUAAGUUCCGACCUGCACGAAAGGCGCAACGACUUGGGCGCUGUCUCGACCAUGGACCCGGUGAAAUUGCACUGGUCGUGAAGAUGCGACUUACCCGCGGAAGGACGGAAAGACCCCGUGAACCUUCACUGCAGCUUGGCAUUGGCCGCUGGUCCCGCGUGUAGAGGAUAGGCAGGAGGCACAGAUCCGGAGGCGCCAGCCCCCGGGGAGCCGCCCUUGGAAUACUGCCCUCGCGCGACCGGCGUCCUAACCCGAGGCCGUCAACCGGCUCGGGGACCGUGCCAGGCGGGCAGUUUGACUGGGGCGGUCGCCUCCUAAAGGGUAACGGAGGCGCGCGAAGGUCCGCUCGGGACGGUCGGCAACCGUCCUUUUGAAUGCAAGAGUACAAGCGGGCUUGACUGCGAGGCCCACAAGCCGAGCAGGUGCGAAAGCAGGCUCUAGUGAUCCGGCGGCCCCGAGUGGGUGGGCCGUCGCUCAACGGAUAAAAGGUACUCCGGGGAUAACAGGCUGA